rnacentral:lncRNA from 1 species
UUCAAAUUUCUAGGGGCAGGGAGAUUGCUUGUGUUCCAAAAGUCAUCCAGAACCACAUCAUUCUAGAAUGUUUCCUGAAAUUUUCUGUGUCUGGGGUCUGAUGUGGAGUAGAGAAAUCCUAUUCCUGCAUUGGCUUGCCUUGUAGUUGACGAUGAGAGUGGAGUGACAGAUUAUGGACCUGACCUGUAUUGUCCUCAUUCACCACACUUUGGUUUUGUCUUCAGGGAAAAGUGAAGGUGGCAGGUUGCUGAUCACUUUAGACCAGGACCUUUGGUCAGUAAGGAGCUUGCUUUCCCCCAAGGUUGAAUUCCUGUCAACAAGGUGGUUCAUUGACAUUUUGCUGUGAAGAUGGAAGAAAUGUGCCUGUAGCAACAUAGCAAUGGCAAGAUUGCUCUCCUCGUCUCUGCUGAUAUAGACUUGCAGAACUGUGCUGUAAGCCAACUCAUGAAAUCAUCCAGGUUUAAAAAAAAAAUAAAAUCCUUUUUCUGGUUUCUAUGCA